CCUACGGGUGGCUGCAGUGGGGAAUAUUGGACAAUGGGGGGAACCCUGAUCCAGCGACGCCGCGUGAGUGAAGAAGUAUUUCGGUAUGUAAAGCUCUAUCAGCAGGGAAGAAAGAAAUGACGGUACCUGACUAAGAAGCCCCGGCUAACUACGUGCCAGCAGCCGCGGUAAUACGUAGGGGGCAAGCGUUAUCCGGAUUUACUGGGUGUAAAGGGAGCGUAGACGGCGAUGCAAGUCUGAAGUGAAAGGCGGGGGCUCAACCCCCGGACUGCUUUGGAAACUGUAUGGCUGGAGUGCAGGAGAGGUAAGUGGAAUUCCUAGUGUAGCGGUGAAAUGCGUAGAUAUUAGGAGGAACACCAGUGGCGAAGGCGGCUUACUGGACUGUAACUGACGUUGAGGCUCGAAAGCGUGGGGAGCAAACAGGAUUAGAUACCCUUGUAGUC
rnacentral:rRNA from 1 species